UAACUGCUUGAAAGCACAAUUUAAAAUGGUGAUUUGCACCUAAAUGGGUGGAUAUUGGAUCAAUUUCUAUGAAAUUAUGUCUAGAAAAGGAACGAAGUUGAAAAUAGAUAUAAUAUAUCAUUCAGUACAAAUUAUCAUUCUCAAGCAGAAAACUUCAAAAAGUAUUCAGGAAAUACUUGCAUCUUAUUAAAACAAAUUCUACAAUAGGUGCCAAAUUCCAUAAAACCUAUCAAUAGGAUUCAAAAGAAAUAGAAACAUUGGUGAAUAAGUGAAACAAAGCUAUAAAAUAAUUUAUAUAAACCUCACAGUUCCUACUAACAUUUAACUGUGCAGAACUAAUUAAUGACCAUCAUGUAAACAACGCAUGUAAACUGAUAUUCUUAAGACCACACUUCCUUACUAUGAAACACUUAAUUCAACAUUGGUUAAAAUUGUUUGAAAAACAAAAAAUAAAAAUGCAAAUUCUAAUUAACAAAUUAAAAAAAAACAAUUCAAAAACUAUUUAAAAAAUUAAAAAUUAAAACUGUAAUAAAUUAAAAAAAAAAUAAAUGAAUAGAAAUAAAAGUAAAACAGUAAUUAAAAAAGAAAUAACUGAAAAAAUGGGGAAUGUGUCCAUGGGGCACAGAUGAUGCCCCAACUUGCAUAUAUAUCAUUUAAAGUUAUAAAGGGACAUUACUGAAGAGCGGUAAAAGUGACGCUACCCAAAUUUGUUAAUGAUCUGAGUUUUGUAGUAAUAAGUAUUGUGUAUAAGUUUCAUAACAUUUGGUUGAGGCAAACUUAAGUUAGAGAACGGAAACGAAAAAUUCAGCAAUUUUUCCAUUUGUAAAGGGGCAUAACUCUAGAACGGUUAAAGUAACGCCACCAAAAUUCAAACUUGAUCUGUGUUUAGUAGUAAUAAGCAUUGUGUAUAAGUUUCAUAACAUUUGGUUGAGGCUAACUUAAGUUAGAGAACGGAAACGAAAAAUUCAGCAAUUUUUCCAUUUGUAAAGGGGCAUAACUCUAUAACUGUUGAAGUGACACCACCAAUAUUCAAACUUGAUCUGUAUUUUGUAGUAAUAAGUAUUGUGUAUAAGUUUCGUAACAUUUGGUUGAGGCAAACUAAAGUUAGAGAAUGGAAACCAACUUUGGGACGUACGGACGGACAAGGGUAAAACUUAAUGCCCCCUCCGCUAUGGCGGGGGCAUAAAAACAAAUCAAAGCAUCGUCGAUGUUGUGAUCCGGCCAUAUUCAUAGCUAGUCUGAUAUUCUUUCUGACCAUACUUUUUUCAAUAUUUUUUUCUCUUUUCAUUUCCAAUCUUACUGUUAAAUUUCUAUGUUAUUGCCCACAGGUAGGGAAUUUCGCAAUAUUGAUGCAAAUAAUGAUAUAUUGAAAAGAUGCAUAUAAUUACGAAACUAAUUCUAAAAUUUUUGAUAAAGUUCGUUAUUUCAUUAAACAGUCAAAUAGAUUUUAACGUUCUAAGUCAGCAGCUUUCUUUUUUUCUUUCUGUCCUAUUUGCUUUUUUUGUUGCCAUGCCAAUGUGUGACUCCUUCCUUUAUUUUCUUUAACUGUCGCUAUAUUAUGUAUGUGUUUGCUGUCAUUAUAUAUGUGUAUUGUAUAUGUAAGGAGAGGACUUAAUGUAAGUUGUUAUAACUUGUGUCCAAUCCUAUUGCUUGAUUAAUGCAAUAAAAUAUUAUUAAAUUAAUGAUAUAUAUAUAUUGAUAUUUCAAUUUUAGACUGUCAGAUUUUUUUUUUUAUAAAUAUUUGCAAUUUAAUGGUAUUGACAUGAAUGGAAAGGGAAAUCGUCAAACAAGUAAUACAUUUUUUUAUAUGCCAUUAAUUAUAACUGGCUUAAUAAUUUCCAGAAAGAGGCCUUGGAAAUGCACUUUCUCAACAACAAAAAUGAAAAAAAAUAAUAACUAAUUUUUAUCUAAAUUGGUGUUCAUUCUUCAUUAAGAAAAAAUACAUUUCCUGUAUUCAAAUUUAAAUGUACAAAUACCUAAUGCUGAUAUAUUUCCAAUUACUGUUAAAUAGCAAUAUAAUGGGAUAUAAAUGUAGAACAAAUAAAUAAAUUUUAUUGCAGAAAAUGCUCAGGUAAGAGUUAAGCAAUUUUGUUUAUUGUUUCAACCAAAUUUCUGAUAAUUGUAACUAAUUAAUUAGAUCUUGAUUUUUGACUUAUGUCAGAUGAUAAUGACACUGAUUUCACAAGUGAAAUAAAAUUUGCUUGCAUUUUUUAUACAUAUUUUUACAUUUUUUGUCUUUUCUUCGAAAAAACCAUGUCUGAUUAAUCAUUCAGCUAGCUAGCAAAAUUAACAGAAUAUUUUAAUGUAGUGUAGAUCAAAAUAAAUAAGACAUUUGCAGGUUUACUAUUGAGGUCAAGAAUAUGUGUAUUCAGUUAGGUGUGUAAUAAAUUGUGCCUAUUUAAUUAUGUAA